GUAGCUUGACCCCUAAAAAGAAUAGCAAGAAAUAUAUUAUUUAACAUUUUAAGUGGACUGACAGGCUUCUGCAAUGAGGUGACCUGCUCAGAGGAUGAAGGGGGAGCAGUGGACAUUGUUCACCCUGAAACAUUUCAAGUUCCUGGCCACAUCACCCACUGGGUGGCCCUCAGAGGACAGCCUCCAGCCAGAUGGGCACUGCAUCUGCUGACAUAGGUGGGCUAGGAUGGAUGUGGAGAGCUGGGUGCAGCUGUAGCCACGCCUGCCAUCCCAUGUCACACAUGCCACGUGCCAGGGUCAUGGGUAGUGUAAAGGCGUGUGUGGCACUGGUUUUGGUGGAGUUCCCACGAUCCACCCCGGCAGGGAGCAGAGCCUGACACCCCUGCAGGAGCCCAGAAAGCCACUGAAAAGUGUGAAAAGCAAUUUGGGAAGAAGAUCAGUCAUGUGGUUCGUGUGUCACCAUUUCUCUGAUAAGCCUGUGACUGUGUCCCUUCAGAGGAUGUACUGUGCCUUCAAAGUUAAAAUUAGAGUAAAA